UCCCUGGUGGCUCAGCUGGUAAAGAAUCUGCCUGCAAUGCAGGAGACCAGGGUUCUAUCCCCAGAUUGGGAA
rnacentral:tRNA from 1 species